rnacentral:rRNA from 1 species
AAUCAACGCUGGCGGCGUGCCUAACACAUGCAAGUCGAACGCGAAAGCCCCGCAAGGGGCAAGUAGAGUGGCAAACGGGUGAGUAACACGUGGGUGACCUGCCUUCGAGUGGGGGAGUAACGUCCCGAAAGGGACGCUAAUACCGCAUGACAUCCUGCCUUUGGACAGGCGGAGAUCAAAGCUGGGGAUCGCAAGACCUGGCGCUUGGAAGAGGGGCCCGCGCCUGAUUAGCAGUUGGUGAGGUAACGGCUCACCAAGGCGACGAUCAGUAUCCGGCCUGAGAGGGCGGACGGACACACUGGGACUGAGACACGGCCCAGACUCCUACGGGAGGCAGCAGUGGGGAAUUGUUCGCAAUGGGCGCAAGCCUGACGACGCAACGCCGCGUGGAGGAUGAAGAUCUUCGGGUCGUAAACUCCUGUCGAGC